rnacentral:rRNA from 1 species
GUCCACGCCGUAAACGAUGGGUGCUAGGUGUGGGCGGUGUCGACUCCGUCCGUGCCGAAGCUAACGCAUUAAGCACCCCGCCUGGGGAGUACGGCCGCAAGGCUAAAACUCAAAGGAAUUGACGGGGGCCCGCACAAGCAGCGGAGCAUGUUGUUUAAUUCGACGCGACGCGAAGAACCUUACCAGGGCUUGACAUGCACGGGAAUGUCGUGGAAACACGGCAGCCUUUCGGGGCUCGUGCACAGGUGGUGCAUGGCUGUCGU